AGUUAAAGGGUGGGGUUUAGGAUUUAGGGUUUAGGAUUUAGGGUUUAGGGUUUAGAGUUUAGGGUUUAGGGUUUAGGGUUUAGAUUUUAGGGUUUAGAUUUUAGGGUUUAGGGUUUAGAGUUUAGGGUUUAGGGUUUAUGGUUUAGGGUUUAGAGUUUAAGGUUUAGGGUUUAGAGUUUAGAGUUGAGAAAUGAGGUUUUGGGAUAAGUUUUCAAAUUUUGAAAAAUAAAAAAAAUUA
rnacentral:lncRNA from 1 species